rnacentral:rRNA from 1 species
GAUCAUGGCUCAGAUUGAACGCUGGCGGCAGGCCUAACACAUGCAAGUCGAACGGUAACAGGAAACAGCUUGCUGUUUCGCUGACGAGUGGCGGACGGGUGAGUAAUGUCUGGGAAACUGCCUGAUGGAGGGGGAUAACUACUGGAAACGGUAGCUAAUACCGCAUAACGUCGCAAGACCAAAGAGGGGGGACCCUCGGGCCUCUUGCCAUCGGAUGUGCCCAGAUGGGAUUAGCUUGUUGGUGGGGUAACGGCUCACCAAGGCGACGAUCCCUAGCUGGUCUGAGAGGAUGACCAGCCACACUGGAACUGAGACACGGUCCAGACUCCUACGGGAGGCAGCAGUGGGGAAUAUUGCACAAUGGGCGCAAGCCUGGUGCAGCCAUGCCGCGUGAAUGAAGAAGGCCUUCGGGUUGUAAAGUACUUUCAGCGGGGAGGAAGGGAGUAAAGUUAAUACCUUUGCUCAUUGACGUUACCCGCAGAAGAAGCACCGGCUAACUCCGUG